rnacentral:rRNA from 1 species
UACGUAGGGAGCAAGCGUUGUCCGGAUUUAUUGGGCGUAAAGAGCUCGUAGGUGGUUCGAUAAGUCGGGUGUGAAAACUCUGGGCUUAACCCAGAGACGCCACCUGAUACUGUCGUGACUGGAGUCUGGUAGGGGAGUGUGGAAUUCCCAGUGUAGCGGUGAAAUGCGCAGAUAUUGGGAGGAACACCAGUGGCGAAGGCGGCACUCUGGGCCAGUACUGACACUGAGGAGCGAAAGCGUGGGUAGCGAACAGG